AAAAAUCUGGUAGAAACCCUCAGAGCAGAAUCUCUGUUUAGUUCUCUGGAAGAGGAUUGAAACACAGACACUUCUUUAAAAAUGGCAAUGGUAUCAGAAUUCCUCAAGCAGGCCUGGUUCAUUGAAAAUGAAGAGCAGCAGUACCUUAAUACUGUGAAGUCAUCCAAAGGUGGUCCUGGGUUGGCGGUGAGCCCCUAUCCUUCCUUCAAUCCAUCUGCAGAUGUUGCGGCCAUCCACCAAGCCCUGACGGUUAAAGGUGUAGAUGAAGGGACCAUCAUUGACAUACUAACUAAGAGAACCAAUGCUCAGCGUCAACAGAUCAAAGCAGCGUAUCUCCAGGAGAAGGGAAAGCCCCUGGAUGAAAUGCUGAAGAAGGCCCUUACAGGCCACCUGGAGGAAGUUGCUUUAGCACUGCUAAAAACCCCAGCACAGUUCGAUGCUGAUGAACUCCGUGCUGCCAUGAAGGGCCUUGGAACUGAUGAAGACACUCUGAUUGAAAUAUUGACAUCAAGAGGUAACAAAGAAAUCAGAGAAAUUAACAGAGUCUACAGAGAUGAACUGAAAAGAGAUCUGGCCAAAGAUAUAACCUCAGACACAUGUGGAGAUUUCCGGAAUGCUUUGCUUUCUCUUGCUAAGGGUGACCGAAGUGAGGAUUUCGGUGUAAAUGAAGACUUGGCUGAUACGGAUGCCCGGGCCUUAUAUGAAGCAGGAGAAAAGAGAAAGGGGACAGAUACCAACGUGUUCGUUACCAUUCUUACCACCAGGAGCUACCCCCAUCUUCGCAGAGUGUUUCAGAAAUAUACCAAGUACAGUAAGCAUGACAUGAACAAAGCUCUGGACCUGGAGAUGAAAGGUGACAUUGAGAAAUGUCUCACAGCCAUUGUGAAGUGCGCUACCAGCAAACCAGCUUUCUUUGCCGAGAAGCUUCAUCAUGCCAUGAAGGGUGUUGGAACUCGUCAUAAGGAAUUGAUCAGGAUUAUGGUUUCCCGUUCUGAAGUUGACACGAAUGAUAUCAAGGCAUUCUAUCAGAAGAAGUAUGGCGUCUCUCUUUGCCAAGCCAUCAUGGAUGAAACCAAGGGAGAUUAUGAAAAAAUCUUGGUGUCUCUUUGUGGAGGAAACUAAACAUUCCUUUCAUGGUCUCAAGCAUUUUGGUCAGAAGAUAUUUUAAUUAUUUUAGUUAUAUCUCUUCUUUCUAUCACAUAGGCUUCAUAAGAAAGUUUCUUCAGGAGGAUUACAGUGUAGCUACCUGAUUUCUGAAACAUACAGCCUAUAAAUAAUUUUUAUAUCACAACUCUGUAUAACAGAGAUAAGCUAGUUUUUUUUGAUAUGUUUACCUUGAACCAAAAACCCCACACUCAAGUUGUUCUAGCAACAUUACUUGGGGAAGAUGUCUAUGUAGAAGAAAAUAAAAUAAUGUUAUAAGACAAAAAAAA